UACAGAGGUGGCAAGCGUUGUUCGGAAUUACUGGGCGUAAAGGGCGCGUAGGCGGCCCUGGCAGUCGGGUGUGAAAGCCCUCAGCUUAACUGAGGAAGUGCGCCCGAAACUGCAUGGCUUGAGUACCGGAGAGGGUGGCGGAAUUCCCCAAGUAGAGGUGAAAUUCGUAGAUAUGGGGAGGAACACCAGUGGCGAAGGCGGCCACCUGGACGGAUACUGACGCUGAGACGCGAAAGCGUGGGUAGCAAACAGG
rnacentral:rRNA from 1 species